AGGUAUUAGGCACCUCUCGAGCCCGUGGUUCAACCACGGUCGCUUGGUAGAGUGUAUCGACUAUUUGGCACUAAGAAAUGUAUGAACCUCACAAGAAGCACGCAACAUAAUCAAACAAAACAAAACACCCCAAAAUGUAAAGUCCAGUCCAAUUAUUACAACCCGAAAUAAAAGGGACUGAAAGUAAACCUACACUAAUCCUGAACUAAUGCUCUACCUGACGCCUUGAGCCUUCACCAUGAACGUCCUCCGGGUACAUCAUACCUCGGGGCAUUACUUCAGGGCAUUCCCCGGCCAAAUUAUACAAUUGAUUCAAAAGCUAAAAUCAAAUCAUUCAAUCAAAUUUCAAACACUCAAUCAACCCACAGUCUCUAGAUUUGCCUACCCGACCUACGUCUUGCCUAUUCCAAUCAGCGUAUCUUGAUACUACCAAAUUCAAUUAACGUUUAUUUCAAGUCAAACAAUUAAUGAAUCAAACUAAUCAAAGUUUAUUAAUUAUAUCAAGUUUUCAAUUCUCGCCCACUUAUUCCCACAUGAAUUCAACUCUUUCAAUUCCUUCAUUCACGUAAAUCAAUCAAUCAAUAUCAACCACAGUAAUCGCGAUUUCUCAAACACAAUAUCGAAACAUACCACCACAUCAGAAUCAUCAACCAAACACAAUAUUCACUCCAACACAUCAAAUAUAAUAAGCAGAACCGAACACAACCACGAUUUCGAUGGACGUUGCCGGAAUCCGAUUGCACCACCCUCCUUCUCAGUUGGUUCCCCUUUAUGCUUUGCUCCCAAUCUUUCGAUCCCUCUCUCUGUUUUGAUCUCUCUCUCACUCGAAUCUCUCUUUCUCCGAUCUUUCUUAAUCUCCCUCCAUUUUUCUCCUUUCCGAUUGUGUGUGUGCGAUGAAUUGUGAAGGGAAUCUGUGUUGUUGUUGUUAUCUGGGUGAGUCUCGAUGUUGGUGAUAGAGUGUCUAAUAGAAAAUGGUCGAUUCUCGAUGUGUGCCUGAAGUGUGUGUAUAUAAGCUGUGUUAAUGGUGAGAGCUCUCUUCUCUCUCUUGAGUGUGUGCGUAUUCUUCUGUGUAUGUUAUCUGAUGGAUCUUCCCCUCUUUUUUUUGCCAGCCAUCUGUGUGUGUAUACCACUAUGUGGGUGUAUAGGUUUCCGAUCAGGUAUGUGAUAUGUUCAGUGAGAGAAUAUGUAGAUGAGAGGAUGGAUUUUUUUUUUGUGUGUCCCCAAUUGUUGUAUGGUGAAUCCUGUAUAUCUGUG
rnacentral:lncRNA from 1 species